UGCCGGGAUGGGGCGGCGUGAUGUUUUCCCAACCCCGCCAGGUCCGGAAGGAAGCAACGGUAAGAUUCGUUGCGGGUGUCCUGUCCCGGUAUUU
rnacentral:SRP_RNA from 2 species